rnacentral:rRNA from 1 species
UGGGGAAUAUUGCACAAUGGGCGCAAGCCUGAUGCAGCCAUGCCGCGUGUGUGAAGAAGGCCUUCGGGUUGUAAAGCACUUUCAGCGAGGAGGAAGGUGGUGAGCUUAAUACGCUCAUCAAUUGACGUUACUCGCAGAAGAAGCACCGGCUAACUCCGUGCCAGCAGCCGCGGUAAUACGGAGGGUGCAAGCGUUAAUCGGAAUUACUGGGCGUAAAGCGCACGCAGGCGGUUUGUUAAGUCAGAUGUGAAAUCCCCGGGCUCAACCUGGGAACUGCAUUUGAAACUGGCAAGCUAGAGUCUCGUAGAGGGGGGUAGAAUUCCAGGUGUAGCGGUGAAAUGCGUAGAGAUCUGGAGGAAUACCGGUGGCGAAGGCGGCCCCCUGGACGAAGACUGACGCUCAGGUGCGAAAGCGUGGGGCAGCAAACAGGAUUAGAUACCCUGGUAGUCCACGCUGUAAACGAUGUCGAUUUUGGAGGUUGUGCCCUUGAGGUGUGGCUUCCGGAGCUAACGCGUUAAAUCGACCGCCUGGGGAGUACGGCCGCAAGGUUAAAACUUAAAUGAAUUG